rnacentral:rRNA from 1 species
AGUGAACGCUGGCGGUAGGCCUAACACAUGCAAGUCGAACGGCAGCACAGUAAUAGCUUGCUCUUACGGUUGGCGAGUGGCGGACGGGUGAGGAAUACAUCGGAAUCUACUUUUUCGUGGGGGAUAACGUAGGGAAACUUACGCUAAUACCGCAUACGACCUACGGGUGAAAGCAGGGGAUCUUCGGACCUUGCGCGAUUGAAUGAGCCGAUGUCGGAUUAGCUAGUUGGCGGGGUAAAGGCCCACCAAGGCGACGAUCCGUAGCUGGUCUGAGAGGAUGAACAGCCACACUGGAACUGAGACACGGUCCAGACUCCUACGGGAGGCAGCAGUGGGGAAUAUUGGACAAUGGGCGCAAGCCUGAUCCAGCCAUACCGCGUGGGUGAAGAAGGCCUUCGGGUUGUAAAGCCCUUUUGUUGGGAAAGAAAAGCAGCAGGUUAAUACCCCGCUGUUCUGACGGUACCCAAAGAAUAAGCACCGGCUAACUUCGUG